rnacentral:rRNA from 1 species
AUUGAACGCUGGCGGCAGGCUUAACACAUGCAAGUCGAGCGGGGGAGGUUGCUUCGGUAACUGACCUAGCGGCGGACGGGUGAGUAAUGCUUAGGAAUCUGCCUAUUAGUGGGGGACAACAUUCCGAAAGGAAUGCUAAUACCGCAUACGCCCUACGGGGAAAAGCAGGGGAUCUUCGGACCUUGCGCUAAUAGAUGAGCCUAAGUCGGAUUAGCUAGUUGGUGGGGUAAAGGCCUACCAAGGCGACGAUCUGUAGCGGGUCUGAGAGGAUGAUCCGCCACACGGGGACUGAGACACGGCCCAGACUCCUACGGGAGGCAGCAGUGGGGAAUAUUGGACAAUGGGCGGAAGCCUGAUCCAGCCAUGCCGCGUGUGUGAAGAAGGCCUUUUGGUUGUAAAGCACUUUAAGCGAGGAGGAGGCUCUUAAGGUUAAUACCCUUGAUGAGUGGACGUUACUCGCAGAAUAAGCACCGGCUAACUCUGUGCCAGCAGCCGCCGUAAGAC